rfam:Asian citrus Psyllid, Diaphorina citri - Florida Strain, whole genome shotgun sequence.
GCCUAGUUAGCUUAGUUUGUAGCGCGUCUGCCUUGUAAGCGCUAGGCCGCGGGUUCGAUACCCGCCCGGGGCG